rnacentral:rRNA from 1 species
GAUGAACGCUGGCGGCGUGCCUAAUACAUGCAAGUCGAGCGGAUCUUCAUUAGCUUGCUUUUGAAGAUCAGCGGCGGACGGGUGAGUAACACGUGGGCAACCUGCCUGUAAGACUGGGAUAACUUCGGGAAACCGGAGCUAAUACCGGAUAAUCCUUUUCCUCUCAUGAGGAAAAGCUGAAAGACGGUUUCGGCUGUCACUUACAGAUGGGCCCGCGGCGCAUUAGCUAGUUGGUGAGGUAACGGCUCACCAAGGCGACGAUGCGUAGCCGACCUGGGAGGGUGAUCGGCCACACUGGGACGGAGACACGGCCCAGACUCCUACGGGAGGCAGCAGUAGGGAAUCUUCCGCAAUGGACGAAAGUCUGACGGAGCAGCGCCGCGUGAGCGAUGAAGGCCUUCGGGUCGUAAAGCUCUGUUGUCAGGGAAGAACAAGUACCGGAGUAACUGCCGGUACCUUGACGGUACCUGACCAGAAAGCCACGGCUAACUACGUGCCAGCCGCCGCAGUAAGAC